rnacentral:tRNA from 1 species
GCGAAAGUAGCUCAGUUGGUAGAGCGUAACCUUGCCAAGGUUAAGGUCGCGAGUUCGAGACUCGUCUUUCGCUCCA